rnacentral:rRNA from 1 species
CUACGGGAGGCAGCAGUGGGGAAUAUUGGACAAUGGGGGAAACCCUGAUCCAGCAAUGCCGCGUGCGUGAAGAAGGCCUGCGGGUUGUAAAGCACUUUCGGUUGGGAGGACUGCUUCUAGCACUAAUAUUGUUGGAAGUUGACGUUACCUUCAGAAGAAGCACCGGCUAACUCCGUGCCAGCAGCCGCGGUAAUACGGAGGGUGCAGGCGUUAAUCGGAAUUACUGGGCGUAAAGCGCGCGUAGGCGGCUAGAUCAGUCGGGUGUGAAAGCCCCGGGCUUAACCUGGGAACUGCAUCCGAUACUGUCUAGCUUGAGUACAGGAGAGGAGAGUGGAAUUCCACAUGUAGCGGUGAAAUGCGUAGAUAUGUGGAGGAACACCAAUGGCGAAGGCAGCUCUCUGGCCUGAUACUGACGCUGAGGUGCGAAAGCGUGGGGAGCAAACAGGAUUAGAUACCCCAGUAGUC